GACGAACCGUGCGAACGUUAUUCGGAAUCACUGGGCUUAAAGCGCGUGUAGGCGGGUCGGCGCGUCGGACGCUGAAAUCCCCCGGCUCAACCGGGGAAGGGGCGCCGAUACGGCCGGCCUGGAGGGACGUAGGGGGGGCGUGGAACUUCCGGUGGAGCGGUGAAAUGCGUUGAGAUCGGAAGGAACGCCCGGUGGCGAAAGCGAGCCCCUGGACGUCUACUGACGCUGACGACGCGGAAAGCCAGGGGAGCGAACGGG
rnacentral:rRNA from 1 species